UACAGAGGUCUCGAGCGUUAGGCGGAAUCACUGGGCUUAAAGCGUGUGUAGGUGGAUCGUUAAGUACCUUGUGAAAUCCCACGGCUUAACCGUGGAACUGCUUGGUAUACUGGCGGUCUUGAGCCAGCUACGGGCUACCGGAACAAAUGGUGGAGCGGUGAAAUGCGUAGAUAUCGGGAGGAACACCUGUGGCGAAAGCGGCGCACUGGACCAUAACUGACGCUGAGGCGCGAAAGCUAUGGGAGCAAACAGG
rnacentral:rRNA from 1 species